rnacentral:pre_miRNA from 1 species
AUCAUCUGGAGAUCUUGUUAAAAUGCAGACUUUGAUUCAGUAGGUCUGGAAGGAAAAUUGAGAUUCUGCAUUUUUACAAGCUCCCAGGUGAUGCUGA